GAAAUCCUGAAAUGCACGACAACUUGCUAUAUUUGAACCUACAUUACUGACUCGGGAUUCCUAUAAACAGCGGAUAUGUCAGGCCCCAAGAUAAUUCCCUUUGGGCGGGGGAAGGCAGAUUCCGAGGUUGCGGAAACCCACCUGGCUUAGGCUAGGUGUCAAGGGGCAAGACCGGCAUUUCGGGGUUAUU
rfam:Firmicutes bacterium CAG:102 genomic scaffold, scf115